rnacentral:lncRNA from 1 species
GAGAGCCUGGUUAUCGGCAGAGAAGAAGAAAGCCAAGCCGUGACCGAUUCUUGGUCCGAGACUUAAACUGGGUCCGACUCUCUGGUGAGUCCCACGACCCCGUUUCAGAGGUGAGAAUGUUGCAGAACGUGAAAGAAGAGAAAUUGAAGAAGACAUUCUCCUCCGCUGUUCUCCUUCGACUCCAAGAAAAUAAUAACUGGAAAAAGAAGUCCAAAGGGAUGAAAUCACUUACAGAUUUUUCUUCCUCAUUUUUGUUUUAACAGAUUCUCGGAGGAUAUUACUGGCGCAAAAGGUACGAAAAGAUGAGAAUGGAAGCGGCAGAGAGUCGAGAAAAUCGGAUGAUAUUACGCAGAGGAUGAAGUGGCGCGGGGAAGACGAAGUGUUGGGUAUUUAUAGGGUAACAAUAAUAAAAACGAUGUCGUUUUCUGCGGUUGUAUUAAAACGAUGUCGUUUGGAUGUUUGAAGAAGAUGGGUCGGGCUCUUCCUCUGGUUUUUUUUGCUGGGCUUUUGGAUAUUAUUUUGUGGUAAUUGAUUAAAACGGCUAAGCUUUAGGUUUUAUUGUGUUGGGUUCCUUAAUUUGGGUCUUGAAAAGUUUCAAGGUAUGUCCAAUAAGAAAUGUUCCCUAACUCAUCUUCCCAGCUGCCACUCCUGUAUUAAUGAACCAACUGGGAUUCUUCAUAGUAUCCCCAGCAACCAUGAAUUUUGAAGAGCUUCACCGAUCAAACCCAGAAAAAGAAGCCCUUAUACCUAAGUUGCAGAAAAUUUCCUCCAUUAAAAUGGCAUUCUUGACGCUUGAUCAACUGGCUUUUGUAUUUGGUCUCUUGGGUACAAACUACAGAGCUUCAUAUUUUUUCUUGGAUAAUUUUGUGUUCUUAAUCUAUAUAUAUUAAUUUCUCUGGUCUGCUAAUUUCUUGUUUUGCACAGGUAAUAUUGUGUCAUUCAUGGUGUUCUCGGCCCCAGUGUGAAGAGCAUUUCCCUUCCCUACUAACCUAUAUAUAAUAUUUAUAUCAUAUUCAUGUUUAAAUUAGUUUACUAAUUAUCUAUAAAACUUAAAUAGAUAAUAAUGUCAUCUAAUACAUUAUUUAUACUGUAACGUAUUUUUUAUACAUAAUUUCACAAAAAUUAAAAUAUAAAUAACGCACGAUACUAAAUUUUACAUAAAAUUAAAUUUUAAUAAAAAUUGUGUAUUAGAAAUUAAAUACUAAUUCUUUUAUUCUCAUAGUUUAUUAAAUAGUAGAGUGAAUCUAUUAUGGUCAAAAGAUUAAAUUGAUAAAAAAAUUAUUCAAUCAACUAUUUAUGUUUUAAUAGUACGAAUAUUUUGUUCAAAAUUUUUAAAUGGGUUUAUAAUUAAAUGUGUUGGUGAUAUUGCAGAGACCGGUGCUACGGACCAAGAGUGUUGAAUACAUGUCUUUCCUUUUGUCUUUCUUCCUAACUCUCUUUGCUACAAUGUAGUUCUUUUAUGGACUUUUUGUUAAGGAAUACUUCGUUGCAGUGAGUACUAUGAUUUCAUACAACUACCUACAUAAAUAUGUGGGUGUGUGUGUAUAUAUAUUUUAUAUAUAUAAUAUUUAUCGUGUUUUCAGCUACCAAAUGUGUUGGGAUUCAUGUUUGGAAUUGCUCAGAUGAUAUUAUACAUGAUAUAUAAGGAUGCAAACAAGAAUGGUGAUACAAAAUUGAGGGAGAAGAAUCAAGCUGUGUCGACUUCUAUGGUAUCAAUCAAGAACAUAGUUGAUGAUCAAGUAAAAUAUAGAGACAAAAAGAUCUGCACUUACAGCAACUCAAAUGUUAACAAUGUCUAAAUUAUCAUAUCACAAGGGUUUUUUUAUUAGAUUAAUAGAAACUAUUUUUUUUUUAAAAAUAUCUGUUGGUGAUUUUUAAAAAUUAAGUUAUUAUUAGUAUUUGAAAAAUGAAAAUACGCAGUGGUAGAAAAAAGAGUAAUAGUUAUGGAUGUCUCAGUUGUACAUACAAGUAUGAAUUAGUUAUAUUUAUUUAUUUUUAUAUAAUUUUUUUAUAAAUAAGUUGUCCGAGUAUCAUUAUCUCAUAAAUUGUAUUAAUUUAUAUACGAGUUCGAUAAAGACGUACUUUAUAAAACUCUUAAUAUAUUAAAGUAAUAAUUUAUAAUUUUAUAAGUAUAACCGGUACAUUCUAAUUUUUUUUUUUAUAUUAUUUAAACAAAAAUUUGAAUUGACUUGAUUAUAGUUACGAUAUUGACAUUAACAACCUCGAAAAAUUAAUAUUAUAAAUGUACAAGUAUGUCCCUUACAAAUCUUGGUUUUCAAAAGUUAUACUAUGAAUAACAGUGUUCUCUAUAAUUCGCAGAAUCUACAAUAUUUCACUUUAAAAAUAUUUUCCUUUUUCUAGCAUUAUGUUCACAAUAAUUCCAUAAGUAUCUAAAAACUCACUUCCCAAAUCCCAAAUACACCCAAUACACUCAUUUUUCUUUUUCUUUUUCUUUAGAAUCUCUCUUUCCUUUUUCUCUCUGUUUUUUUUUUUUUUUUUGUAUGGGGGGGUCUUCACUGCUACAAACUUUCUCACAGAAUUCUUCUUCAAUUCAAAGUCACUCGAAUUUAGCCUCCUUCCUGCCAAUUUUUGCACUGUAAAUACAAAGUAUUCAAAAAUUUAUGAGAUUACACAUCUCAGCAAAUGCAAACAAAAGGCAGAAAACAUUUGGAAUUAAGCAAACUACCAUACCUUCUCCCCUCCUCCUUCUGGAUAUCUUCAAAACUGGAGACCAUGCAUUCGAUAUCUCCAUCGUUGUAAACAGCUUUCAUAUAGCUAUUUCUGGCAUAAACCAUAUAUAAUUCAGCCAUGAAAAUAUGUGUUUUUUGAAUAAAAUAUUAUAGGAAAAUAACAUUUAACCAUGUAAAAUGGAAAAAAAAAUUGAUAAUAUGAAAAUCAAAAGGUCUUACCUAGCUAAUUUUUGAAGAAUUGAGUUCAUUUGAGACUCGAUAUACUCUUCAUCAACAAUUGAAGGCCUAGGGCGUUUAAGCUGGCACCCACCACAAAUGAAAACAACUCAGAAAGUGUCCAAGUUCCAAAAUUUCACACUAUGCAAAAUGAAAAAGAAAACGAAAGAUCGUGCCUGUGUGCAUUUACAUGCUUAUACUUGAGAGAAUUAUAUAAGUUUACCUCAUGUUUUUGAACAAUUAUCGGCUUUCCCAUGCGUUGUCCGGUUGGAGGCUGCAAAUUCUGCAAAUGUGCUUUAGAAUGAAUACAAUGAUUGGAAACAACUUAAGCCUAACUAUUAGAAUUUUUUUUUUUUUUUUCCUUUGGACUAUGUGCGUUUACAUCCUUAUCAUCGAGAGAUAAAGAGCUUCACCUCAUGUCCUUGAAUAAGCUUGGGCUUCCCCAUGCCAAGCUGUGUAGGAAGCUAUAAUGUUUACAAAGGUGUUUCAAAGUGAAUAUAUUGGGACACAACUUAAGUCCAAUUACAAGAUAUUUAUUUUGUCUAUAUGCAAUUACGCGCUUAUAUUUGAGAGAUAAAGAGUUUCACCUCAUGUCUUUGAAAAAGCUUCAGCUUCCCCAUACCACGCCCUGUAGGAAGCUGCAAUUUUUGAAAAGUGCUUCAGAAUAAAUAGAUUGAGAUUGCAGCUAAAGCUUGAUUGUAAGAUGAUUUCUUUUGUAUAUGCCCAAUUACAUGCUUAUACUUGAGAAAUAAAGAGUUUUACCUCAUCUCUUUGAAUAAGAUUCGGCUUCCCCAUGCCAUGCCUUGUUGGAGCCUGCAGUUUUUCAAAGGUGUUUCAGAAUGAAUCAAUUGAGAUGCAGCUGAAGCCUGAUUGCCGAUGAUUUCUUUUGUCUACGUGCAAUUACAUUCUUAUACUUGAGAACUAAAGAGUUUCACCUCUUGUCUUUGAAUAAGCUUCGGCCUCCCCAUGCAAUAGCCUGUUGGAGCCUGCAAUUUUUCAAAGGUGUUUCAGAAUGAAUUGAUUGAGACGCAGCUGAAGCCUGAUUGCCGAUGCUUUCUUUUGUCUACGUGAGAUUACAUGUUCAAACUUGAGAAAUAAAGAGUUUUACCUCAUGUCUUUGAAUAAGCUUCGGCUUCCCCAUGUCUUCCCUUGUUGGAGCCUGCAAUUUUUCAAAUGUGCUUUAGAAUGAAUUGAUUGGGACGCAACUGAAGCCUGAUUGCCGAUGAUUUCUUUUGUCUACGUGCAAUGACAUGCUUAUACUUGAGAACAAAAGCGUUUCACCUCAUGUCUUUGAAUAAGUUUCGGUUUUCCCAUGCCAUGCCCUGUUGUAGGCUGCAUUUUGCAAAAAUGCUUCGGAAUGAAUUGAUCGAAUGCAACUUAAGCCAAAUUACCAUAAAUUUCUUUUGUCUGUGUGUAUUUAUAUGUUCAAACUUGAGAUAUAAAGAGCUGACCUUAACCUCUUGUCUUUUAAUAAUCUUCGGCUUGCCCAUGCGUUGCCCUGUUGGAGGCUGCUGCAAUUCUGGCCCAAGUGCUCCAGACCGACUUAGAAUUUGAUGAUUUGGACGCAACUUAAUCCUGAUUAUCAGAGGCUUUUUCGGCUGCUCCAGUUGAGGCUCCGCUCCAGGUUGUGAGUAUGAAAAAGAAGCUUUCUUUUCAUCUGGAGCACGGUGUCUUGAAGAUGACUGCAACUGAUUUUGCACUGCUUUUAGUUUAUUCAAUUCAGCAUAAACUUCUUCUUGUCCAAAAUUCUUAUUUGCAACUGCUUGUUGCAACUGAUUUUCCAUUGCUUUCAAUUUAUUCGAUUCACCAUAAAAUUCUUCUUGUCCCAAAUUCUUAUUUGCAACUGCUGGCCUUGGGAUGGAUGGUUUGUGCCCGUGAGAGCCAUGAAGAUCUUUCAACGACGGUGGUUGAUUCUUUGGUGCUGAGUUCUUCUUGAAAGUAUCGUGUACACCAGAAUCUUUUAUGGCAUGUAUGUACUUGGGCUCAAUGCUUGUAUGUACUUGUUUAGACAAAUUAUCACCUGAAUGAAGUACCAAAAAGAAAGUAUUUUAAGCUGUUAGAGAACAAACCGUAAGAACAGUAAAGCAGAUGCAUUCUUAUAUAUAAAGAGUCACAAAGUAACUUAAUUCGCAGCGAACUUUACCAACUUUAGGCCUUUUUGCAGGUGGUGCAGGAAGUUCAGAAUCCAGGCCGAACAGGAAAGAAUAGUCCCGAGAUUCUCUAAUCAUUUGACAUUUCGUUUUUCGAUCAAGAACACUAACAGUUCGAGUUUUGUCCUGAAUGGGGCAAUUAAAAAAUGAUUAUUUUAAUGCUAAACUAGACCCAAUAACCUUAAGCAAAAAUGAAAAUUGUAAAUUGAAAACUGUCUUACGAUACAAACGAACAUACACUCAGGGAGUGAGAUGAUAAUACUCACAGUAAUGGUGGGCUUUACAGCCUUGGUUGCCAACGGCCGCUGCCUCAGUGUUCUUUCUCUGAUCAGUCUUUUAACGGCGGCAGGUUGGGAGGAGUCAGAUAUGAAGAAUGAACCAGAGCUGCUGUAAAGAUAAAGGCAUAACAGAUUAGAUAUUAGGGCAAUUGGAAGCUUGAAACUAUUACUACUUUAGGGCAUAAAUCAUAAAGGAAUAGAAAAUCAAGAACUCUUUGGAAGUUCUUGCAGGAAAAAGACGUUAUAAACGUUAAAUCAAAUUAAAUAAAACUAAUCUUCUUCUCAUGAAAGAAAGACUCAAUGUUUCUUCUUAAGAAAAUAAAUCGCAGAAGGGAGAAGAAAAAAUCGUAAGGUAAGGAACCUUGUAUGAAACCCCACGUCCAUGGUCUCCUUAGAAAAGGAGAGACGUAAAUAUCAACAGCGAGAAUCAUGUCUUUCGGAUUCUCCAACCUCGAGCUACUCAAGAACAGAAUCAAGAUUCCCAUAUCGUUCGACUACAAAAACUGGCGAAAUUCCCGGAUUUCAGAUUGAAUCCUUCCGAAGGCCGGUCGAAAUCAGAAAUCUUGAUCGGUGAUUCUCUCUCGUUCUUGGUCAACUGGGAGAAAUUGACCCGGGCUGCCGAGAGCCUGGUUAUCGGCAGAGAAGAAGAAAGCCAAGCCGUGACCAAUUCUUGGUCCGAGACUAAAACUGGGUCGGACUCUCUGGUGAGUCCCACGACCCCGUUUCAGAGGUGAGAAUGUUGCAGAACGUGAAAGAAGAGAAAUUGAAGAAGACAUUCUCCUCCGCUGUUCUCCUUCGACUCCAAGAAAACAAUAACCGGAAAAAGAAGUCCAAAGGGAUGAAAUCACUUA